rnacentral:rRNA from 1 species
CUACGGAGGGUGCAAGCGUUACUCGGAAUUACUGGGCGUAAAGGACGCGUAGGCGGCCUGAUAAGUUAGAUGUGAAAUCCUAUGGCUUAACCAUAGAACUGCAUCUAAAACUAUUAGGCUAGAGUGGGGGAGAGGUCAGUGGAAUUAGUGGUGUAGGGGUAAAAUCCGUAGAGAUCACUAGGAAUACUCAUUGCGAAGGCGACUGACUGGAACUUAACUGACGCUGAGGCGUGAAAGCGUGGGGAGCAAACAGGAUUAGAAACCCUAGUAGUCC